rnacentral:ncRNA from 1 species
CCUUCCCAAGUUUGAUGUCAAAUCCCAGGGCCUCAACCCUGGACAUGCCAUGAAAACUACCAAGCUGGAGUACGGUAUGGGUAGAGGAAAUUUUAAGUGAAGCGGUGAAGUGCAUUGAGAUCGGAUAGAGCACCAAUGACGAAAGCACUCUGCUAGUCCUUUUG